rfam:Asian citrus Psyllid, Diaphorina citri - Florida Strain, whole genome shotgun sequence.
GCCUAGUUAGCUUUAACGCGCCUGCCUUGUAAGCACUAGGUCGCGGGUUCGAUUCCCGCCCGGGGCG